GGGGGCAGGAGAGGAAGGGAAGGGGAUUGUGGGGGGAGGGGAGGGAAGAUUCACAGUCAACUCGGGCCCAAGAGGUUUGAUUUGAAUGCAGUCGAACUAUAUUUUUUAAAAUUUGAUAAAACAGGUUAUCUCCCCCCCACCCCCCAGGCGACCAGUCUGGGUUUAAACAGGAAAUCGAGGAGCGGUCCCCUCCCCCACUCGGGCUUGGCGCAGAAGCCCAGUCACGCGUUUGGGAGAGGGUGGGGGGUGCUCUUGGCUCGGGCUGAAGGGGACUCUGGCCCCUAGACUCUCGGAUCUCUCCAGAAAUAUGCACCCUCCCCUCCCCCAGCUCUAGGGUGUGUCUGCCUUGGGUGUGUAAGCGAGUAUGUGUGCGUUGCCCUUUAUAAACAGAAGCUCACACAUAUAGGGGCCGCCUCGGACCCAGGCCAGGGAGCAGGGCGGGGACAUAUAUCAAGCUGCAACACAUUCAGGGCCACGUACAUUUGGAAGAAAUUAAGCCACUGUGUUAUGAAACCAUAUGUGUUGGGUUAAGACUAUACAACACGCCAUUAGCACCAAUUAUUAGGAAGAUCCCCAGCGCCCAGGACCCUCCGGGCCGCCCAAUUCUGAGUCCCGACCCCAUGAGCCAGCCGUGCCCCAGCCGUGCCUUGAGACCUCACUACCUUUGCUCAUCCAGGAGGCCCUGCCGGCGAGGCCUGGUCCCUGUCCCCACCCAUUCUAGGGCCUCUCCAAUUCCCACCUCCGCCCCAGACAGGGCAGAUCACAGCCCAGAGCAGCCAGGCGACGCGGGUGAAGCAGUCCAGUUGGUAUCCUGGAUGGGGUAGCCGCGGGUGGGGGUGGAGAACGCCGGGCCGGGGGGAGGGGGGAGAGAAGGUAGAUUGGCCCCCAUUCUCCAAGCACAAGAUGGCUUUUGAGGACCGAGUCUCCACCCCCACCCAUCCACCCGCAGUGCAGAGCACCUCCCCUCUUUCCAUCCGCUCGAGUGGGGGUGGAAGCAGGGGGUGGGCAGACGCUCUCUCCUCCGCUGACGCGCACCAGCCACCAGCCUCCCCCCUAAUUGCCAAUUAACUGGCCCCGCCGCCCGCCUAGCUGCGCUCUCUUCCUGCUCCGCUGCCGGGCCCUGGGCCCGCACUGCGCAUGUGUGAGCCCUAGCGGUCGCGCUCUCCGGGAGGGAGGGGGCUGCGGAGCAGGGAGGGGGCGCUGGAAAGUUUGUUUGGGGGUUGGGGGGCUGACUCUGCUCGGAGGGCAUUGGUUACAGCUUACAGGUUCUCUCUUCUGCCCUGGAUUUUGAGCUCCCGAGCCCCCUCUGUCCCAGUCCCGUUAGCCAAGAGGCCGCAGAUCUAUAACAGGCUCUUACAGGGAGGACUGUUCUGCGGAGCGCUCCGAACGGACAAACCACAAUAAAAAGUUCACGUUCAUGGAUGGAAUCCACAUGACUUCUUGUGGCCAAUCCAACUUGAAGAAAACAACAUCCUUCCCACUGGGGCGUAGGGGAAGCCCCCCACUCCACCCCAGAAGGAAACAGGAGGGGCAGGCCGCUGGAAGCCUGAUAACCAAGACUGACCUGGCCAUGGUCUGAAGAGCGAGAGGGUUUAGACCGGCCCUGGGCAGGCCUGCGGAGGCAGCUUGGUUGGUGGGGGGGGACGAGAAUGGGGAGCAGUCUGCAGAACUCCCAAAGUGCCCCUCACCCCCACGUUCUUUUCUCCGAGAAAGUGACAUUCACCCCCCCCCCGCCCCCCCCAAGGACCAUCCUUACUGUCAGAUCUCCUCAAUUCCUAGGUUCAGAUGGCAGCUUCCUCCUAAUCUUUUUAGAAUUAAAUAUAAAAUUAA